rnacentral:rRNA from 1 species
AGAGCGACCGGUGCUUGCACUGGUCAAUCUAGUGGCGAACGGGUGAGUAACACGUGGGUAACCUGCCCAUCAGAGGGGGAUAACAUCCGGAAACGGAUGCUAAACCCGCAUAGGUCUUCGAACCGCAUGGUUUGAAGAGGAAAAGAGGCGCAAGCUUCUGCUGAUGGAUGGACCCGCGGUGCAUUAGCUAGUUGGUGAGGUAACGGCUCACCAAGGCCGUGAUGCAUAGCCGACCUGAGAGGGUGAUCGGCCACAUUGGGACUGAGACACGGCCCAAACUCCUACGGGAGGCAGCAGUAGGGAAUCUUCCGCAAUGGACGCAAGUCUGACGGAGCAACGCCGCGUGAGUGAAGAAGGUUUUCGGAUCGUAAAACUCUGUUGUUAGAGAAGAACAAGUGCUAGAGUAACUGUUAGCGCCUUGACGGUAUCUAACCAGAAAGCCCGGC